rnacentral:rRNA from 1 species
GGGCAAUCUGCCCGAGAGCGGGGAAUAACCUUCCUAACGGAGGGCUAAUACCGCGUAGAAUCCGGAGCUCGCAUGGGCACCGGAUGAAAGAGGGGCUCUUCUAUCCUCUCACUCUCGGAUGAGCCCGCGCCCCAUUAGCUAGUUGGUGAGGUAACGGCUCACCAAGGCUUCGAUGGGUAGCCGGCCUGAGAGGGUGACCGGCCACACUGGGACUGAGAUACGGCCCAG